UUUGAUCGUUUCAGUGUGCUUGGUUAGAAAUUAGGGUUCUUGUUUGCAGAGCGAGCUUCCGUUGGUUGGAAACACGGCGCCGGAUUUUGAGGCGGAAGCAGUGUUUGAUCAGGAGUUCAUCAAGGAUAUGUGGUUAUAUCUUUCUGAAAAGGAUAAUUUUAAUGACUUCGGCAAUGAGAAUGCUCUCAUAUGGCAAGAGACAAAUAUUCCAUAUGCAGUUUGGGGACCAAGUAGUAGCUGAUCUCUUUCAUUGAAAUACAAACCAUCAGAGUAUUCCAGGCUGUUAAACACAAUGGGAACCUCUAUGCUCAUGUUUUCUUUGCUCGCUCGGGUUACCCUCCAGAUCCUAGCGAUCCUGAAUAUCAGCCAGGAGCUACAUUUGGAAGAACACAUUCUGUUGUGGCAUACCUACCCAAGUCAAAAGCAGAUAAAAGGAAGAGCUUGUCGGGCAACCAAAAAGGGGAUGAAGAUGAAGUUUCGGUGACUAGGGUGCUUCCAGGUUAGGCAGUCCUUCCAGGUUCACUGAAGUUACGAAAGUAUGCUUGAAGGCGAGGCUGAUGAACUUAAGAUGUCAUUUUCUUGAUAUAUUUAUAUCAGAGAUGGGUAUAUCCAGUAGAUAAGAAGCAUGUCAUUUUCUUGAUAAUGAGUUUGGGUUUGGGGGUGAAGAUGAAGAUCAAAGUCUCUAAGCAUCCAGCUCAGAUUCAGCUCAAAAAAGCGAGGAAAUAAAUAAAAUCAUUUUUUAGCACCACUUGAGACAUUUUUGCGUAUGUAUAUGUUUUUGAUUUCAUUGCGAGAUAUUGAGUAAUCAUUGUGUGAGAUGUAUAUAUUAAAUGUAAGCAGGUAGAUAAAUAAAAUAGCCAAAAUUACAUAAAUUAUUUUUUA